GACGAACGCUGGCGGCGUGCUUAACACAUGCAAGUCGAACGGAAAGGCCCUGCUUUUGUGGGGUGCUCGAGUGGCGAACGGGUGAGUAACACGUGAGUAACCUGCCCUUGACUUUGGGAUAACUUCAGGAAACUGGGGCUAAUACCGGAUAGGAGCUCCUGCUGCAUGGUGGGGGUUGGAAAGUUUCGGCGGUUGGGGAUGGACUCGCGGCUUAUCAGCUAGUUGGUGGGGUAGUGGCUUACCAAGGCUUUGACGGAUAGCCGGCCUGAGAGGGUGACCGGCGCCCGUGCGACUGCGAUACGGCCCAGAAUCGUAUGUGCGGCAGCAGGGGGGAAUAUUGCACAACGGGCGGAAGUCUGAUGCAGCAACGUUGCGUGCGGGAUGACGGCCUGCGGGUUGUGAACCGCUUUCGCCUGUGACGAAGAGUGAGUGACGGUAAUGGGUAAAGAAGCACCGGCUAACUACGUG
rnacentral:rRNA from 1 species